CUCAAAACUCCAUUAAUUAAUAACUGAUGAGGUUUACAAGUAUUAAUAGAGAGAGCAACAAGGAAAUUCGAAAUGGUCAAGCAUGUGUAGUCAAAGGACAGGCUGGAACUCCUCUUGAAUCACUUGGCUGUGCUUUCUCACAUGCUUGCACUAGUAUAAAGGUAACUUCUCCUUUCCAGCAUCAUACAGGCUGUCAAAGUGAUCCCUUAUCCUUCCUUAACCUCACUUAUCUUCUUUGGUCGAGUUUCCUCUCUUCUCUUCACUAAGUUACCUUCUCAUCCCAUUAGAUAACUUCCCCAAGUAGUUACUGUGGUUAAAAUAAAGUUACCACAGUAAAACUCUAAAGUUCAGUAAGACAUUAGAGGAGUUUAGGAGGAAAUGGUCGAUGGUGCAAAGUUAGGGUCGGCUGUACGGACGGCCGUACGUGUUAAAAUGAGUUGUUCAGUACAUGGGGAGAUGGCUUAAGGAGUUGAGGAUGUGAGAAUGUGAAGGCAAAGGGAAGGAAGGUUAGGGAUCGACCAGGCCGUACAAGAGGCCGUACCGGCCGUACCGUCCGUACUGUCUGGGUCGAUCCAUAACUCGACCAAGAGGAAAGUUACCCGGGUGAAAGGGUUAAACGGCCAAAGGGGUUUUACUUUAGGAGAUAAGACCGUUUGGAUGGAUAGAGUGACCGCGGCUUAUCCUGACAGUCUGGCACAGGCUGUAAAGGCAAAAGGAGUCUCACCAAAAGAUGCCAUAAGCGUGUGAUCUUCCUCAAUGGUUUACAUUUGAAUUAAAGCAACCUUAUCCUUGACCACACAUGCUUAGAGCUUCUGAAUACCCUAAUGUCUCUCUCUAUAUAUUGUAAACUCUAUCUUGAUUAAUGAUUAACACGAGUUUGUCAGAUUCUCUCUCUAGUUCAUCAUGUUUCUCUUCUACAUUUCAUAAAUCAUCUCAUCUCACUUUAAUCUUUCUCUAAAUCUCUCAAUACCUGUUCAACUCUCUAGAAUCAUAUGGUAUCAGAGCCAGGUUGGCUUUGGUAUUGAGAUUUAGAGUGUUCUUCAGCUUCAGUUCAUACUCUUUCAUACUUUCUUUUCGGUUCUAACAAAGCAAGAUGGAGGGAAACUACAAGGUCAUUACGGUUCCUGUUGCGUUGAAGGGUGGUAGUAACUACCUGUUGUGGUCAAGGCUGGUGAAGACAGCCAUUGGGAGGCUAGGGCUGUGGAGUCACAUCACGGAUGAUGCAACCAAGCCAGUGGCUAAAGACGGAGAAGGAGCUGAAGGUGUGGGAGAUCAAGUUGCUGCUGCCGAGAAGAAGUGGAUUCAAGAAGACUUGAUGGUGCUUUCAGUGCUACAAGGGUCCCUUGAAGAGCAUCUCUUGGAGGCCUACAGCUACUGCGAGACUCCAAAACACCUGUGGGAGGUACUCCAGAAGACAUUUGGGAACGUUACCAAUCUGAACCGCGUGUAUGAGAUUAAGAAGGCCAUCAACACACUGGUUCAAGAUGGGGAAGAGUUCACCAAGCAUUUGGGCAAGUAUAGAUCCUUGUGGUCUGAGCUUGAAUCAUUGAGGCCAAGCACCGCGGAUCAAGAGCUACUCAUGGAGAGGAGGGAGCAGGAUCAGGUGUUUGGAUUGCUGCUGACACUAGAUCCUCCAUUCAAUGAUGUGAUCAAGCACAUGUUGAGGAUGCCGAGUCUUCCAUCUAUGGAGGAAGUGUGUGCGCAGAUUCAGAAGGAAGAGGGGUCACUUGGUAUGUUUGGAGGGAAAGGAGACAUGGCUCUGUCCAACAAGGCUGAAGCAAUCCAAGCACACAAGGCUGCUUACCGUGGAGAGGAAAGGAAGUUCAGUGGAAACUGUGACCAUUGCAAGUAUUAGAUUUGAUGAUUUAAAGAGUGAUUAACUCUAAUCUGAGAAUUAAAGAGAUUGGAGAUUAAGAACAAGAGAGAGACUUAAGAGAGAGAGACUCAAAACUCCAUUAAUUAAUACUGAUGAGGGUUUACAAGUAUAUAAAGAGAGAGCAACAAGGAAUUUCGAAAUGUAUAAGCAUGUGUAGUCAAAGGACAGGCUGGAACUCCUUUUGAAUCACUUGGCUGUGCUUUCUCACAUGCUUGCACUAGUAGAAAAGCAUCCUCUCCUUUCCAGCAUCAUACAGGCUGUCAAAGUGCUCCCUUAUCCUUCCUUAUCCUCUUUGGUCGAGUUUACUCUCUUCCCUUCACUAAGUUACCUUCUCAUGCCAUCAGAUAACUCCCCAAGUUGUUACUGUGGUUAAACUAAAGUUACCACAGUAAAACUCCAAAGUUACUGUCUACUCCAACUCUCUUCCUCUCUCAAUAUAUCAAC
rnacentral:lncRNA from 1 species